rnacentral:rRNA from 1 species
UACGUAGGAUGCGAGCGUUGUCCGGAUUUAUUGGGCGUAAAGGGAGCGUAGGCGGUUCCUUAAGUUUGGUCUUAAAGACCGGGGCUCAACCCCGGGACUAGACCGAAUACUGGGGGGCUAGAGGACGGAAGAGGGAAGUGGAAUUCCAGGUGUAGCGGUGAAAUGCGUAGAUAUCUGGAGGAACACCGGUGGCGAAAGCGAUUUCCUGGUCCGUUCCUGACGCUGAGGCUCGAAAGCUCGGGGAGCAAACAGG